rnacentral:rRNA from 1 species
GUCGAACGGCAGCACGGGUGCUUGCACCUGGUGGCGAGUGGCGAACGGGUGAGUAAUGCGUCGGAACGUACCGAGUAGUGGGGGAUAACGCAGCGAAAGUUGUGCUAAUACCGCAUAUUCUGUGAGCAGGAAAGCGGGGGAUCUUCGGACCUCGCGCUAUUCGAGCGGCCGACGUCUGAUUAGCUAGUUGGUGGGGUAAUGGCUCACCAAGGCGACGAUCAGUAGCGGGUCUGAGAGGAUGAUCCGCCACACUGGGACUGAGACACGGCCCAGACUCCUACGGGAGGCAGCAGUGGGGAAUUUUGGACAAUGGGCGAAAGCCUGAUCCAGCCAUGCCGCGUGUCUGAAGAAGGCCUUCGGGUUGUAAAGGACUUUUGUCAGGGAGGAAAUCCCCAGGGCUAAUACCCUUGGGGGAUGACAGUACCUGAAGAAUAAGCACCGGCUAACUACGUGCCAGCAGCCGCGGUAAUACGUAGGGUGCAAGCGUUAAUCGGAAUUACUGGGCGUAAAGCGUGCGCAGGCGGUUGGUUAAGCAAGAUGUGAAAGCCCCGGGCUCAACCUGGGAACUGCGUUUUGAACUGGCCAGCUAGAGUACGUCAGAGGGGGGUGGAAUUCCGCGUGUAGCAGUGAAAUGCGUAGAGAUGCGGAG